ensembl:lncRNA
CAGCACUGCACCCACCAAGGAUAGUGUCAGAAUGGGCACCAAAGAUCCCAAGGCUUUUAUCCUGGGUGGGAUCCCUGAUGAGAGGUGUGACCCAACACCCAACCUGAUGGGCCAAGAAUGAACGAAGGGAGCAGACCCCUGGUUUGAGUGCAACGCCGUGCGGAAGGAUGGAGAUGGCUCUUGCCGUCUUGGAUGACAAGUGGAUGGCACUGAGAUCUUGGAAGCUGAAAAUGAACCCAAUGGAAAACACUGUGGUUUCUCUGUUGUCUUCAAACCCCGAGGUCUGACUUGCUCUUAUUUUACCAGAUCGCCGUACUAUAAAUGUGUGAGCUGCUUGCUCACUAUAAAACCCAACCCUUUGCCUUGCCCUUCCCAUCCCAGGGGGCAAACCUCUCCCAUAGCAGCAGCAAAGUCUAGUCUACCCUAUAGUCUACCCAAAGGGACUCAGCAUCGCAGCCACCCACAUCCACAUCCCUCCCUAUUUUCACAGGUUAGAAGAGACCCAUUGGCUCAUUGAGGCCAACCCCUGGCUCCAACCCCGAAUACAAACCCUAUUUCAGAUUGCUACCCCACUACUCC